CGCACCUCCACAGGCAUCCUCACCGAUCCAUGUGUUAUAACCACACACCACCGCAAUGGCUUCCACAAGUUCACCUGGAACCUCCAAAUCUAUGCACCUUCGACUGGGAGGCAGCUUAUGGAGAGACUGCUGAAAAGGCUUCAGGAAGUUCUGCAACGUCAGCCUGUGGAUUUUGACUAUUUACACUUACACUGUUUUUAGUCAUGAAAUGGGACUUGUACCCUUUCGCAUAGGCCAGUACACAUUAACCCUCAUAUGCAUUAUCAUUGCAUUUACUGUAAUUUGUUAUGAAAUAGAGUCAAAUUCUUACUUGAAUAUAUUUAUUUAUUAUUCACUGAAAAUGUAUAGAUUUAACUGUUUUGCUGGAGUCCAUACUGUAAAUGCAUGUCAUUUCAAAAACUGUUAAGGAUUAAAAUCAGUACUACAUAUAAA